GACGAACGCUGGCGGCGUGCUUAACACAUGCAAGUCGAACGAUGAAACCUAGCUUGCUAGGUCGAUUAGUGGCGAACGGGUGAGUAACACGUGACUAACCUGCCCCUUUCUCUGGGAUAACGCUCCGAAAGGAGUGCUAAUACCGGAUACUCACAUCGAGGCACAUGCCUUGGUGUGGAAAGUUUUUCGGUAAGGGAUGGAGUCGCGGCGUACCAGCUUGUUGGUGAGGUAACGGCUCACCAAGGCGACGACGGGUAGCCGGCCUGAGAGGGCGAGCGGCCACACUGGGACUGGGAAACGGCCGAGACUCCAACGGGAGGCAGCAGUGGGGAAUAUUGCACAAUGGGCGCAAGCCUGAUGCAGCGACGCCGCGUGAGGAAUGAAGGUCUUCGGAUUGUAAACCUCUUUCAGUAGGGACGAAGCGAAAGUGACGGUACCUGAAGAAGAAGCACCGGCUAACUACGUGCCAGCAGCCGCCGUAA
rnacentral:rRNA from 1 species